UACGGGGGGGGCAAGCGUUGUUCGGAAUUACUGGGCGUAAAGGGCUCGUAGGCGGCCAACUAAGUCAGACGUGAAAUCCCUCGGCUUAACCGGGGAACUGCAUCUGAUACUGGAUGACUAGAGGACCGGAGAGGAUAGUGGAAUUCCCAGUGUAGUGGUGAAAUACGUAGAGAUUGGGAAGAACACCAGUGGCGAAGGCGGCUAUCUGGACGGUUUCUGACGCUAAGACGCGAAAGCGUGGGGAGCAAACAGG
rnacentral:rRNA from 1 species